rnacentral:rRNA from 1 species
GAGCAUUCUAGUUGUGUUGAAGGUGAGUCGUGAGGCUUGCUGGAACGGCUAGAAAAGAAAAUGUAGGCAUAAGUAACGAUAAUGCGGGCGAGAAACCCGCACACCGAAAGACUAAGGUUUCCUCAGCUAUUCUAAUCAGCUGAGGGUUAGUCGGGACCUAACGCGAACCCGAAAGGGGUAGUGGAUGGCCAACGGGUUAAUAUUCCCGUACCUGCUCACGAUAAAAGUGACGGAUUCGAAUACCUGGUGCGUGCUGACGGAAUAGCACGUUGAAGCGAACAGUAAUGUCGCGAUAGUACACUAAGGCUACGGCUGCGGUGAUAAUCCAGGGAAUCGGGUCCCAAGAAAAGCGAGUGAAGCAGCCCGUACCCCAAACCGACACAGGUAGUUGGGAUGAGAAUUCUAAGGUGCUCGAGAGAUUCAUGGCUAAGGAACUAGGCAAAAUCGACCCGUAACUUCGGGAGAAGGGUCGCCCCCGCUUCGGCGGGGGCCGCAGUGAAGAGGUCCAGGCGACUGUUUAUCAAAAACACAGGGCUCUGCUAAAUCGAAAGAUGAAGUAUAGGGCCUGACACCUGCCCGGUGCCGGAAGGUUAAGAGGAGAUGUUAGCUUCGGCGAAGC